rnacentral:lncRNA from 1 species
GGGGCGGUGAGGUCAGCGGCGGCGGCGCGUCCGCGGGCGGCGGGAGCUGCGCAUGCGCGGAGCGACGCCCGUGAGUGGCAGUGGCGGCGCGCGGGGAGCGGGCGGGGGCCGUCGAGGCGGCGGUGUGUGGGCGCAACGGCUGCGAGUUGGAGAGAGAAUGUUGUACCGACGACACAAGACCUCAGACUUGUGUUAUUCUAGCAGCUGAACACACCCCAGGCUCUUCUGACUGGCAGUGGCUCUGGAAGCAGUCUGGUCUAUAGAGUUAUGGAUUCACUACCAGAUUCUACUGUAUGCUCUGACAACUAUGACCACAAUGGGUAUGGUUUCUGUGGAUUCUCUGCUCUUUGUGCUCUCCUCCCCACAUUGGUGGCUCCAUCUGGCACAGGGAAGCUUCUGGAUUCCAGAAGGGAACAACACUACAGUCGCCCGUAGUUUUGUUUCUGUUCAGUCUCCAUCGUGGCAUGCCACACUCUCCUGGUUUGGGCCCUGCUCAUUUCUUUACUGCCUUCCUGCCUGCCCUUUUUGUGCAGGUAGGUCAUCCCAUUCAUGCUCAGCCCUCCUCGCUGUCUACACUGUCUUCUUGGGCAAUCGUAUCCAGUCCCAAGCCUUUUAA